rnacentral:rRNA from 1 species
UACGUAGGGGGCAAGCGUUGUCCGGAAUUAUUGGGCGUAAAGAGCUCGUAGGCGGUCUGUUGCGUCCGCUGUGAAAACUCGGGGCUUAACCCCGAGCCUGCAGUGGAUACGGGCAGACUAGAGGUAGGUAGGGGAGAAUGGAAUUCCCGGUGUAGCGGUGAAAUGCGCAGAUAUCGGGAGGGACACCGGUGGCGAAGGCGGUUCUCUGGGCCUUACCUGACGCUGAGGAGCGAAAGCGUGGGGAGCGAACAGG